AUGUGGACUCCCAGUGUAGACUCGAUCGGCUGAAUGACCUAACUCUGCUCCUCUGACAUGAGCUUCUGAACUUACAG